GAUGAACGCUGACAGAAUGCUUAACACAUGCAAGUCGGUGGUGGACGGGUGAGUAAUGUCUGGGAAACUGCCUGAUGGAGGGGGAUAACUACUGGAAACGGUAGCUAAUACCGCAUACCAUCUGAUGUGCCCAGAUGGGCUUAGCUCGUAGGUGGGGUAACGGCUCACCUAGGCGACGAUCCCUAGCUGGUCUGAGAGGAUGACCAGCCACACUGGAACUGAGACACGGUCCAGACUCCUACGGGAGGCAGCAGUGGGGACUAUUGCACAAUGGGCGCAAGCCUAAUGCAGCCAUGCCGCGUGUGUGAGGAAGGCCUUCGAGUUGUAAGGCACUUUCAGCGGGGAGACGUUACCCACAGAGAAAGCACCGGCUAACUACGUGCCAGCAGCCGCGGUAAUAC
rnacentral:rRNA from 1 species